UUGCUUCUCUUGAGAGCGGCGGACGGGUGAGUAAUGCCUAGGAAUCUGCCUGGUAGUGGGGGAUAACGUUCGGAAACGGACGCUAAUACCGCAUACGUCCUACGGGAGAAAGCAGGGGACCUUCGGGCCUUGCGCUAUCAGAUGAGCCUAGGUCGGAUUAGCUAGUUGGUGGGGUAAUGGCUCACCAAGGCGACGAUCCGUAACUGGUCUGAGAGGAUGAUCAGUCACACUGGAACUGAGACACGGUCCAGACUCCUACGGGAGGCAGCAGUGGGGAAUAUUGGACAAUGGGCGAAAGCCUGAUCCAGCCAUGCCGCGUGUGUGAAGAAGGUCUUCGGAUUGUAAAGCACUUUAAGUUGGGAGGAAGGGCAGUAAAUUAAUACUUUGCUGUUUUGACGUUACCGA
rnacentral:rRNA from 1 species